rnacentral:rRNA from 1 species
UACGUAGGUGGCGAGCGUUGUCCGGAUUUACUGGGCGUAAAGGGUUUGUAGGUGGCCUGCUAAGUCAGACGUGAAAUCCCUCAGCUUAACUGGGGAACUGCGUCUGAGACUGGUAGGCUCGAGGACAGGAGAGGAACGCGGAAUUCCAGGUGUAGCGGUGAAAUGCGUAGAUAUCGGAAGGAACAUCAGUGGCGAAAGCGGCUUCCUGGACCAGUACCGACGUUCAGGCACGAAAGCGUGGGGAGCAAACAGG